AUUUUGAGAGUAAUAAAAUACUAUAUUUUUAUUUAUUUUUAACAUGUCGCAUGUUAAAAGAGCGACAUGUACGUCACACACCGAGUCCAAGCCAAUCUAGACCAACUUAGGAUAUAUUUGAUUCGGUAAUGUACAAAUGGUCAGCAUACGAGGGCCGCACCAUGCCAUGCAGGAUGAGUUGGUACCGAUUUUUAGAAUAUUCGGUGUAGAUGUUGUACCGUCUUUGUGCUGUGAUUUUGGUCGAACUAGCUCAUCUAGGAUGGAACGCACCGAGGCCUAGCGCCCUAGCCAUUCUGCUCACUCCCUUGAGCCUCGCUCACCCCUUGAGCCGCCGUCACCCAGCUCGCAGGCCAGCCAGGCUCCAUCAGAUCUGCUCGCCAGGCUGUCCCGCCAUUGCCACACCGGAGCUGAUCUAUGGUUUUCAGAACGUCCUCGGCGUGCUGUACCGUGGUGGCGACGCCUUCUUCGGCAGUGACUUCCCCGUCAUCCUGUUCAUUGUCGUUAACCGCAUCGUGUCCACCGACCUCACCGCCUCCUCCUCCCUCAAGCUCUUUUUCAAGUCCUCUUCCAACGUCAUCUGUCGCCACCGUAGCAAGUUGUGAGGUAAUGUGCAUCUGCUUUUGUCAUUUUCCCCAGAAUUUUUGGUGCUUGUGCUUGGUAGAUCUGUGUGGUUUGUUGACAUAUUUGGUACAUCCAUGGCAUAUGUGGCUGGCAGAUGAACUUGGUGUUGUGUUGCUGUUGGCAAAAAAGAAGAUAGAUGUAGGAAACCACAACAAUUGUGUGCUUGUUGCUGUUGGCAUAUGUGGCUGGCAGAUGAACUUGUUGAUGUUGGCCAAAAAAAAAAAAAGAUAGAUGUGCUUUACUAUUUUUCAGAUUGCUAGUUAUUUUUCAGACCUGGGUUCAUAGUUGUUCUGAAUUGUUGAUGCUGUUGUGAUGAGGGCAGACUGAUUAGCAUGUGUUGUAAUGAAGUCUUUUAAGAUGAGGGCAGGCUGAUUAGUAUGUUCUUUUUGAAAAAAGUUUUGAUGCCGUUCGGGAAACAUUUUUUGUCCUGAGAGAAUUGUUCUUGAAGGACUCUGAGUCUCUGAUACUCUGAUACCCAGAAAAUGAGGCUACCUGAUAGCAGGUAAAUAAUUCGAUCACUGAUAGCUGGUGCAUACUCUGUUUAUGUGGAGAGAAGGUAUGCUGGUGCAAACUUUUCUGAAAGGCCUCCAAGAGAUAAACAGAUGACUGAAGUUCUGAUACAAUUGACUGAAGUCAGAGUGUUAUUGAUACAAAUGACUGAAAGUACAAAUGAUUGAAGUCACAGUGUGUAAUUAACAGUCAGUCUGUUAUUGCUGACAACAGAUUGCUAAUUUUAGCAGUAGGAAUCAGUGACCCACUUGUAACUUAGGCCAUUGUGUAGGUCUGUCAUCUAAACAUUCACUAGAAUGUACUACUCUACAGGUUUUCAGCUCCUACUCAAGGAAAGAUUCAUGUUCUGUACAUUGUAAAACCAUUGGCUACUACUCUUGUUGACAUUUAAAACUUGGUCACUUGCAUGCAUUAGAUUUGUUCUGCUGAUUAUCAUUCGGUGAACAGUCCAACAGAGCAACGUAGGUGUGGCUGGAGAAUGCAAGAGGUGAGGUUAGCAAAGGAAGGGAGAAGAUGAUCAUAGAUGGAUAGAUUCAACCAAUCAAACAGCAGCUCGUACCAAUUCAUACAAUUCAAUACAGAUAAUCAAACAAAAACACACAAUUCAAUAUAGAUAAUCAAACAAAAACACGUAUCAUUCUAUACAAACAACUAAACAUCCUACCUAUAUCAUCCUAUACCAUAUCAUCUUAUUCAGUGAACAAGGCCAUACAUAUUCUAGUGCAACUAAUCAAAUUCGACACCGGACCCACCUUCUCCGACCCGCCACGUACUCCCUGGGCCCUCCCUCCCGCCAGCCGUGUGGACACCCGGCCCACCACUCCGCUAUCCCUGCUCCUCGGGCCCCACCUGUCCGCCUCCGAGUUAGAUCCGAGAGCGAAAGAAAGCCACGGCGCCGUCCCUCCCCGUCCCUGCCUGCGGCCGUCGCCCACCGUUUCUUCUCUGCUUCGGUGUCGGUGGUGCCGUGCAGCUCGCGCACAAGGAAUCCGUGCAGCUCAGCGCUUGCAGCCCGCCCGAACCAUCCCCCACCCGUGGCACGUCGGCCGUCUUCCUCGCGCCGCCGCGGAUCCAGCGAGGAAUCUGUCAGUGCCCAUGAUUUUAAUUCGUAAUGAUAAAGUCUGAGAAUCAACAUUAUUCGAGCAUUCUUUCAAUAUGGUGUCAGUGAAUCUUGGGUUAGUACAUUAUGUACUAGACCACAUAUAGGUGACUCUCCUUCAUCGCACGAAAUUAGGAACACCAUUUUUCUCAAAAGGAUGGGGAGGUACUAAACUUGAUUUGUUAGAGAGGAUGGUGAAGCAGUUAUUCCCUGAGGCACGUUGCCAAAACUGGAACCAACUACAAUGCAGCCCAUAUGGAAAACAGUAUGGGAGACAAAGAAUUCUUGUCUGCGAGAGGGUGUUUUCAGGACUACAUGUGAUGAGAAACUAAUUGAUGCUUUGCCUCCCGAGAGUCACAAUGCAAGAGUUGCUUUUCUUACUCCUAAAAAUGUUACACCAGAGAAGAUGUCUUGCGUGGUCCAUCUUGCAGGCACUGGUGAUCACACGUUUGAGCGUAGGCUUCGGCUUGGUGGACCUCUUUUGAAGGAGAAUAUCGCAACUAUAGUUCUUGAGAGCGACGUCCUAGCUUGCAGCAUGGAUCAAAGCUUCAGUGUGUGAGUGACUUGUUACUCUUAGGAAAAGCCACAAUUGAUGAAGCUCGCAGCCUCCUUUACUGGCUGCAGAUUGAGGCUGGCUAUGGCAAGAUGGGUAUAUGUGGGCUCAGCAUGGUUAUGUAUUAUGUAAUAUUGGUUUUUCCUCCUGAUUGAAUGUACUGAGUCUAGCUGUCAAAGCUGUCUCAUUCUUAUAAUUUCCCAGUUUUAGAUUCUUGUUUGCUGAUGCCACAGGUGGUGUACAUGCUGCAAUGGUGGGAUCCCUUCAUCCUACACCAAUUGCCACACUACCAUUUCUUGCUCCUCACUCUGCUGUCGUACCUUUCUGUGAAGGUGUCUACCAAUAUGCCACAGCUUGGGAUGCAUUGAGAAAAGAUGC